GGUAAUAUGGCCGAGUUAUAGGCAGUAAAUUGUAAAUUUACCGACGAGAUUAUUUUCUUUUACCA
rnacentral:tRNA from 1 species